GGCGAUAGAGCGUUGAAGAAAAAGAAAUAUGGCGGACGGCAACAUUGGAGGUGGCAACUUUUACAAAUGGACGGAUGAGGAUGUUAGGCGUCUUAUCUUAAAAAGAACAGCCUAUGGUCAUCUCUUUUCUGGCCGGAGAAACGCUGCUCAGCAUGGAUGGGAAACAGUGUUGAAGGACAUCGGCUUGGAGGGGGUGGUAUCCCCUGCCAGAGCGGCCAAAAAAUGGGAAAAUUUAAAAAAAA